AUGGAGGCUGCGGUGGCGGUGGCGGUGGAGGACGAGAACAAUAGGAAGGUGUUCGUCGUGGUGCCGGCGGAGCGCAGGGCGGGGCGGUCGACGCUGUCGUGGGCUCUCGGCCAUCUCUGCGGCGGAGCCACAGCCACCACGGUCGUCGUCACGCACGUGCACGUCCCGCCGCAGAUGAUCCCCGUCAUGGGAGCCAAGUUCCAUGCCAGCAAGCUGAGCUCGGAGCAGGUGAGCUCCUUCAGACGGAUGGAGCGCGACAAGGCGGACAAGAUGCUGGACGACUACGUCCAUGAGUGCCGGAAAACCAAGGUGAGGUGUGAGAAGCUGGUGAUUGAGAAGGAGGAUGUCGCGUCCGGCCUCGUCGAGCUCAUUGGCUUGCGCGGGAUCACCGAGCUGGUGGUUUCGGCUGCCGCGGACCGGCAGUACUCCACAAAACUUGACAGGCCUACUUGCAGGACAGCAGCAGCGAUAAUGCAGAGAGCUGAUCCAUCGUGCAAGAUCUGGUUCGUCUGCAAGGAGCAGUUAAUCUGCACAAGGGAAGCGAAAGUAGAGAUUGCAUCAUCUGCUGUCACUGCACCGUUGCUCCCUAAUCCUGGCCAUGAAGUCCUUCGUUUGUCAACUCACCAGGAAGAGGAUGAUGAUGACAUUGAGGUUGAAUUGGGGUUCUAUGAUGAACUCACGGAGGCAUGCAGAGCAGCCGAGGACCUGAUGAACAGAGCUCUAAACGAAUCCCGCAGGCGCCACAAGGCAGACGAAGAAGUGGCCACAUCUCUCCUGAAAGCCAAAGAGCACGAGGAGCUGUACCUGGAGGAGGUGAAGAAGAGGGAGGAGCUCGAGGCAGCCCUGGCGAGAGCAGAGAAAGAAAUUUCAGAGCUACGACAGGCAAUCCAGCGGGACACGGUCGAGGAGGAAUCCGGGGAGGCGACGGCGACGAUGUCGGCCCCGGGACUGCAAAGCACGAGCAAGGAAGAACCGGAGGCGGUGCUCUGGCACUGCCAGUGCCAGUGUCAGAGGAAGCUGGCCGCCUCGUCGUCUCCGUCCUCGGUCAUCAUACCAUGGUCGCCUCGUGCCGACGAAGAUGGGUUCACCUGCGAAGCCGGCGUGGCCGGGUGCUGCUGGCUCGACGGGAUGCCGUCGCCCGAAGGCGUGGCCGUCGCCGGCGUCGCCCUACCGCUCGCGCGCCCCAGUUUUGCCCUCCGUGCCGCGGUCGAGGAAUACACGAGGCGGCAGCAGCAGCAGCAGCGGUGCCCGUUUCCUUGA
rnacentral:rRNA from 1 species